rnacentral:rRNA from 1 species
UACGUAGGUGGCAAGCGUUGUCCGGAUUUACUGGGCGUAAAGGGCGCGUAGGCGGUCAGCACAAGUCAGUUGUGAAAUCUCCGGGCUUAACUCGGAAAGGUCAACUGAUACUGUGCGACUAGAGUGCGGAAGGGGCAACUGGAAUUCUCGGUGUAGCGGUGAAAUGCGUAGAUAUCAGGAGGAACACCGGUGGCGAAGGCGGGUCUCUGGGCAGUAACUGACGCUGAGGAGCGAAAGCGUGGGGAGCGAACAGG